AUACAGAGGGUGCAAGCGUUGCUCGGAUUUACUGGGCGUAAAGCGUACGCAGACGGCUGCAAAGGUCGGGUGUGAAAGCCCGGGGCUCAACCCCGGAAAUGCAUCCGAAACCAUGCAGCUCGAGUAUGAGAGAGGGGAGCGGAAUUCCUGGUGUAGAGGUGAAAUUCGUAGAUAUCAGGAGGAACAUCUGUGGCGAAGGCGGCUCCCUGGCUCAUUACUGACGUUCAGGUACGAAAGCGUGGGUAGCAAACAGGAUUAGAUACCCUGGUAGUCCACGCCGUAAACGAUGUGUGCUGGGUGUCGGGGGUAUUCACCCCCUCGGUAUCGAAGCUAACGCGAUAAGCACACCGCCUGGGGAGUACGGCCGCAAGGUUGAA
rnacentral:rRNA from 1 species